GGCGGUGACGGGCACUGAGGAGGAAAGGGCUCGUUUCUUCCUGGAGUCGGCUGGCUGGGACCUGCAGAAGCUGACUGCAGAGGUGAACAACCCUGGUGUGAUGUCCUCAGUGAGUGAAGAUAUUCCAUUCCAGAGGAGGUCUACUUGACACAUCUGGGAGGCCGCCAUCCAAAAGAAAGCCUCUCUGUUGGUGUAGGAAGUGACAG
rnacentral:lncRNA from 1 species